rnacentral:tRNA from 1 species
AGGGGUAUAGCUCAGUUGGUAGAGCGGCGGUCUCCAAAACCGCAGGUCGUGGGUUCGAAACCUACUGCCCCUG